GGAGAGAUUAAUGGGUCUCCUGAUUGGAUUCGGAUUUGGAGAUUUGGUCGCUGAAUCGGGCGGAAUCUUCUUCGAAUUGAAUCAGUGACCGAAGCUUCACACAGCACUACUGGGCACUAUACAAUGAAUCUUCUUAUUUGGGUUAUGGCAAUACAAUAUCACUUUUUCUACACUAGAGAGUUGUACUGCUUUAACUACACUGAUAUAGUCAGAGCAAGCCCUCUAGUGUGGAUGCAGCUAUAUCAGUCUCAAGUGUUUUAUACCAAUAUAUUUUCAUAUCAGUAUAACUAUAAUACUAGGGGGAAAAAAUAAGUCACUUCCUUUAACAUAGGGCUGUCUAACAUUUGGGCAGCUUGGGGAGGGGGUGGACACACACAUGCUGAAUGGUCUGUAUACAAGGUGCAGACCCUGGACCCAGGGGUAGAGGCAGGAAGUAGAAGCCACAGGAGGGAGGGGGAGCCCAAAGAAUCUGGCUGCUGCAGCAGGGGAAAUAGCAUGGAGGAUGGUCAGCAGGAGCUGGAAAGCUUUAUGUUAACCCUUCAGGAGCCACAUGUAGCCCGUGGACCUUCAGUUGGACAGCCUUGCCUUAACAGUUCAAAAAAUAUGUGUAUACCAGCACGGUGUCAUGCUACUUAAACUGUAGCUUGCUAAAGUUUGUCCCUACUUAUGUGGCUUGCAAAAUGCAAUCAAUUUUGCUAGCUCCAUUUUCCUCCAGUCUCUUGAUGGAAAUAAAUAUGCUGCUACUAUUUUUUUCCUCUUACAGGCUCCAGUUCAUCAAAAUACAUAAGUGUGUUUUUCCCCACUGUAUACUAGUCAUAAGUGCUGUCUUAGGGUGAGACAAGCAGGAGGUUACUGCUACCAUCUGGGACACACAAGCCCAAGAGGAACAGACUCCACCCCCAGUGUGUUUAGAUCCCUGAAUGGUAGCCACCUUCCACUGAUGAACAACUCAGCUAUGCAAGUCUUUUCAUGAUUUCCACAAGAUAAUGUUUUCACUCUGCCUGUCCUUUCUGAUCUGGUGUUGUACUAGCUGGCUACAUAGUCCAAGCAGGCAGCACAGAGAAGCAUGUAAACUUAACCUGAAGAUCCUUAUAAUUAUUAAGGAAGAGAGUAGCAAAUGGUGCUAAUAAAAACUGGCAAUCUUCAGGCAAUUGCUUGUCUGUGCUGAUCCCAGCAAAUGCUUGAGUGGGAUCAUUAAUGCCCUAACUACCAUGAGGAGAUACUCCUUUUAGCUUAGUGGGGUAGUCAGCUGCUAAUUCAGUACAGGUUGCAGAACAAUCCUCCCCAGUUAGCCCCCACUCAUGUCCAGAUGGAUCUCAUGAUGACUUCCUAUUGAUUGGAGAGAAUCUCACGUUGGCUUCCUAGUUUUGUGGAACAGACACCCCCUAGAUCUUCUAAAUGGCACUGCUCCAUAUUGCAACAAGAGUUGAGUGGCAGGGGAGAGGUGUACUGCUUUGAUAAAUCCAUAGCAGGAAACUAAACAAAUAGGAGUCCAGGGAAGAUUCUACCCAGAUGCUCAUCAGUCAAGCAGGGAGAGAGACCACAUCACUCUCAAACAAUACUGUUUUCUGUAUUCUAACAGAAAGUUCUUGGUUCAGUGUUAGGAAACAUUUUCUGUAGUAUUUUAUGAUUAUUGCAUGACAAUUGGGAGGCCAGGAACUCAGCAGGCAUGAGACACAACUUCAAAAAGGAUUUUAAAAAAGACUAACCAUCUUUUCCUCACUAUUAGGUAGAUGGUUUGAUUUUGUUUUGCCUGCAGUUAUUGUAGUGUUGCUUUGCAAAUCCUAGCCCCAAGAAGAACAGGCAAUCUUGUGUUGGUUUUGUGUUAUUUUUUAUUUAUUUAUUAAUUAAUAUUUUUAUAGAAGCAGUCUCCAAAGACCACAUGAUCAGAAUCAAAGCUUGUUGUCUUAGAGGUUUCACAAACACCUACAAAGAAACUGGCUCUGCCCAGAAGAAAUUAAAAUCUAUAAAGAAAAGUGACACAUGAAGAAAGAUGGGGGAGAUGGAUACAGUUAAACUUAUGCAGCUUGUGAAAUCUUUUGUUGUAUUAAUGUCAGAAUCAACUACCUGUAUCGCCCCCACAACUUUGCCAUCCUUAAUCAGCAUUAUCUGUAUUGCUCUUUCUCCACAAUGCUCUAGUGAAUUAAUUUCUGACAUUGCUGUGUUAGCCAAGACAUGAGCAAGCUAAAAGAAAAAGUAACUUAUAAGCAGAGCUAUGCAACUUCACUUUUCACUGUCUGCAGAGCACAUCUGAGAGAUGUACAAAGUCCUCAAUUACACACAAAAGUUGGAGAAGCUUACCUUUGCCCAGAGCUGAAGUAGUACAAUUCCCCCCACCUGUAUACAUGGUUAUCACCAUCUACAUUAUUUCUGGGCAAGUAGGAACCACACUAGAGGUUGUAUUAAUAUAAAUAUAUUUGUAAAAAUAUUGCAUCCCAUUUGACAUAGACAGACUUGUACAAAAAUGGGGGCAGGUCAGGUCUUCAAUGAAAAUUAUUAAAUCCUUUACUUAAAUGUAGAUGGCAGCUUCCAAACUGGAAUCAAAUUAUUCUUUAAUUCCUGAACCUAAGGAAUGCCAAACACCCACAGCUCUGUGGGUCAUGCAGCACUUCAGCAUCUAUCAAAGCCAGAUCCUAAGUAAUUAAUUAAUUGCCAUCUGUGGCACGGACAAUGCCACAAAUAGUUACAGCGAGUCCAGGGAGAGCUGGGAAUGUCAUGGACUCAUUUUAUGGCAGUGUGCCAGUGCCAAUUCACUGGCCAGUGCAUAAAAACCCUGGUGGACCAGGAAGAGUGGGGACUGGAAGUGAGUCCUCUGGUGGGCCCAGAGCAGCCCAGAGCUGAUCACAGCCCCACUGAGGGAAAGUGGUGGCACCCCCAGGAGGGGGUAGACAAAAAUAAGCUGAGCCCAGGAGGGCCUAGUUACUUACCAGAAACUGAGCUGUGGAUUCCAGAUGUAGCUGGACAGGACUGGGACCUGUCCAGUAAACCAAGCACUAAACCUAAGGAGAAAGAGAGUUGGACCUGUGGACUGUGGCAGAUGCAAGCCAGAGAGAGAGAAGAGCACACCAGGAUGCAAGGAACAGGGCACCUCAGUGCUCUGCGACAACGUGGCAGGUGAGAACCCUGGGGACCAUCCAAGCCAUCUAACCUAGCAGCAAGCUGUCAACCACUAAGGGGAUGGUGGGGUCUGAAAAACCCAUAAGAACCAGAUGCACUUGUGAGUGUCAUGGGAGGUCACACUAUCCAAUGAAGAAUCCAAAGAAAUCAACAUUACACUAAAACUGUGCUCUAUGGCUCCAGGUAUACCGCCCCCCCCCGAUGUUUAAACAAUUGUUUAAAGUUCUGGAAGAAAAAACAGCUAAGAACUCCAUUCCUCAGCCACAAUAAAACCUUACAGAAAAGGAAAAACAGCUCUCUUACACAUUUGGUUCAACAGUAUGGAAUGAACUUAGGAACAUAAUAGAUUAUAAGGACCAGCACACACGUUGCCAUCUUCUGCUCCAAGAGUAAUACUGAACUUCCUUCUCUAUCAUAAUUACAUAGUGGUGCUUACAUUUAAAACAAAACCUUAACUGUAGAAACUCUCUUUCUCUCUCAAUCACCUGUUGCAGCUGUUUGUUGGGACUGCAAAACACUCAGAUACUGAGCCAUGAAGGCAGGAUAAGAUCCUCUCUAGAAUAGAAUAGAAUAGAAUAGAAUAGAAAAUACCCUUGAGGCCUGUGAUGGACUGUCUAUGGUGGUUGGGGAUCUGUGACCAGGGUGGGACCAGGGGAAACCAAAGAUACAGGAUUGGAUAUGUAUGCAUGCUAUCAUAGAAUUAUAGAACAGCAGGGCUAAAAAAUACCUCCAAAGGCUAUCUACUGCAACCCUCUGCAUGGGGAAGGACCACCCCUAUCCAAACCAUCCCAUAUAAUUCCAUCGUCUGACCUAUUAGUAACCCGUCCCAUACAAGUUCAUUGUCUGACCUACACAAUCAACCCUGACAGAGCACAAGAUGACACCCCAGCCUGCCACAGGUAAAGCAGAAGGUCCAAAGCAGUCAACAUUCUGCAGCAGCAAAGGUUGUUAAAAUACCUAUAUAUAUAGUCCCACUUACCAUUAAUGCCAAGAGAUGACGAAUAUAAAAACUGCACCUAUAAGGUGCAUUCAGUUUUUAAGGUGGAUUUUUCAUGCUUUACAACUUUUUCUACUCCUUUAAGAACAAAGUUCACAGAGUUAAUUCUUUGUCUUCCUGGUCCUUCCUUAAAACUCUUCUUUGCUGUGAUGAGUAAAACAAAUUGUUGUGACUGCUACCGACUGUGAUGACCAAUAUUAUCUCACUGCUUCCUUGUGGUCCCAUCAGACUGUCUUCAUUCACCUGUUGUCUAUAGCUAGAUAAGAUUUUGGGGGGCAGGGACAGU